GAUAAAAAUAAGUUUAGACUAUAUACGUACAUGUUUAGUUAAAUAUUUUAUUGUAAAUAGAAUGUAAGCAUCAACAACAAAGUUUAUACGGUAAUAUCUAUAAGACUUAUAUUUAUGUUUUUGUGUAUAAUAAAAAAAUUGAGUCUAAUUAUAAUUAACUAAAUAUGCAUUAAAGUACGGAGGUAUACAUGACAAUUGUCAAGAAAUAAAUAAAAAAAUAAUUUCUUUGUAAUAGUAAAAUAAAAAAAAUAAAUUGAACUCUACAUUUCUAAUCCCAUUCUUUCCUUCCUUGCAGGCGAUUACGCGGGAUUCGACGAGAACGAGCCCACAUCCCGGUCGGGUGGUAAGGGGCUGGUGGUGAGGCGGCUGAAGGAGCAGCUCGGGUACCAGCGGCUGGUCAUCAUCGGUGACGGCGCCACCGACGCCGAGGCGAGCCCGCCCGCUGACGGAUUCAUUGGUUUUGGGGCAACGUAGUGCGCGACGAAGUGAAAAGAGAGCUAGCUGGUACGUGACCGACUUUCAAGAGUUGAUAAACUCACUAACCAUACAAGUGGCCAAGUGAAAACACGCCCCGUGUUAGAAAAAAUUACACGUAUUAUGUUGAGAAACGGUUGUCUAUGGACGGGCACACGGCCACAGAUCAUAAAAUCCAUAGACCGCUGCACCAUAGAGCACACGUCAGUUGUUAUUUUACGGCGCGGACUCACUGUGUUUUCGCCACUGACGUUAAAAAUAGCUGUGCUAUAUUUUAUAUAUUUAAUCCGAACUCCAAAAUGUUUUUAUAGAAAUUUGUCCCCGUUUACGUCCAUUGAACAAUGUUUUUAUAUCCUUAAGGAAUGACUAGUAAAUUUUGAUUUUUUUUCCUAACAUGUAUGUAAAUUUAAAUAUAUAUUUAUUCUGUAGAAAUCACAAUCUGUGAUCGUUACUGCCAUAGUUCCCGCGCAGUCUGUAGAGUGCACGUGUAUUUUGGAUUGUGCAUUUAUUGUUGUUAUUUCGAUAUUGUGAUGGUACUUUGAGUACAAAAUUGACGUUCUACAUAAAGUAUUUGCGCGGACUAAGUCUGUGCUUCGUGUUGGUUUUUAUGUUGGUUUUAGUAUAUGUUAUAUAACUUAGGUUAUUAGUUAAUGUAUAAGUUAUAUGUAUGUUAAUAGCUAUAAGGAAUUGUGGUCUAAAAUUUAUUAAUGUUUUAUAAUUUAUUUUGUUCAAUAUUUGGAAUUGUAUGAAAUUUUCAUUAUAAAUGGAAAAAUCCUCACGUCAAAAACGGCUGUGUACUUCUUAUGAAUAAGAAAUAAAUAUAUUUAAUUAAGUUAAA